GAUCGAUGCUCAUAAUGUUGAUCACUGGAUUAUCUGGUCCAGACGCGAUUAUUUACAGACCGCCACUGCCGCCAUAUAGCUGGAAUAUUGCUGAGUGCGGCGUAAAACUAAACUCAUUCACUUCGUGUGACGUCAUCCAUGCACAUGGAAAAAAGUGCUGCAACAUAUGUGGUUAUUAAUCACCAUAUAGCCAUUUAUAUUCAUAUCAUAAUUAUAUUUGUUUGUGUGAUUAUUUUGACCCAUCCGUCGCAUUAAAUAUUUCAGUAAACUGUUA